CGGAUUCGGAAGAAACAGUUGAUAGUGACCCACAUGAAAGUCAGUUGGCUGGUGAUGGGAUUGGGGAUGACGGUGGCAUGCAUUAGCAAAAGUUUGGUCUAUGUGUUAUCCAAUAAGAUAGGAAGGCGUGCGAGAGUUUAUGCGUUUUUCCUUUUUUCUGUUUCAUGUUUUAUUUUCCUUGGAAGACAUCUUUUUUCACUUCUUUUUGGCCGGCAAGUUUUUCCAAGGAAACAACUUAUGGUCCAUGGUUUAAUAAAGUUUAAGCACGCCCCUUUGUAGGCGUAUUGUCUUA